UACGUAGGGAGCAAGCGUUGUCCGGAAUCAUUGGGCGUAAAGCGCGCGUAGGUGGCCUCAUAAGUCCGCUGUGAAAGUCAAAGGCUCAACCUUUGAAAGCCGGUGGAUACUGUGAGGCUAGAGUACGGAAGAGGCGAGUGGAAUUCCUGGUGUAGCGGUGGAAUGCGCAGAUAUCAGGAGGAACACCAAUAGCGAAGGCAGCUCGCUGGGACGUUACUGACACUGAGGGACGAAAGCUAGGGGAGCGAAAGGG
rnacentral:rRNA from 1 species